rnacentral:lncRNA from 1 species
GACGCUCUCAGAGUCUGGCCUUCUGCUGGGCCCCGGGUCUCUCACUGGCAGAAUGGAGUUCUCGGAGCUGAUCCAUACGGGCUGAGCCCAAGCAGAGUUUCUACGGGGCCCGGAGGCGCCCCCGCUUCGCGGCACGGUGUGAGUCACCGUCCACCACCUGCUCCUGUCGCCAGGGCCCGCGUCCUCUCCGGACCUGUGGCUGCUGCUGUUGCGUAGCGUCGACUCCUUCGAGAAGCAGUGAGACGUGGCGGGGUGGGGGAGGGUCCCCGGGGUUGGGGAGCGCGCGGCUUGGCGGAGUAGGGGGCACGGCCAGCGCAGUCAGAGCUGGCGCCCUCCUGCGUAAGCCCAAUCCGGGAAACUCGUUGCCCCUCUCCUGGGAAAGGAACGUCCCUCCCCAGGGUUGCGAGUGACUCGGGCACCAUCACCCUGUGCUGUAAAGACCUGCGAGUGCUGCAGCUGGAAAUAGAGGGCGCGGAAGCGACGCUGGGCAUCGCCCGCUCCAUCGAGGUGUGCCGAGGGAGCUCCCGAGCCCUUUAAGCUCUCCCUGUCUCGCGUAGAGGGGAAUAAAAAGGUGCUUCUGUUCAAAGAGGCUCCGCAGCCGCAGCUAAAUGGCAGGGGGAUGCAGGGUGGUCCGGGGUACUUGGAGAGGCCGAAGCUGAAGCUACAGGACUGAGGGGCUGGAAAGGGCGCGGGCGAGACAAUUCCGACCCUCCCCAGAGCCCCUGACUUCCUUCUCCGGACGCUGUCCUCCCUGGAAUCAGUCAUCACCUCCUUCCCUUUAUUCUACCGUCCCAAGGGCCUGAGAUUGGGCGACUCCUGGCACUUCCUCCCGCCCGAACUCUACUGCAAGAGAGUAGCUCGCGAAGUGGGCGCGGUCGUAGGGGCCCGGGAAGGUGGAAGCGCCGGGCCUGGAAGAGGCGCGGGGACAGGGCACUCCCUGGGUGCCCUAGACCUGGCCUCUCUCCUCCCUGCGCUGCAGACCAACGCGUGGCGGCUGAGCGAGGUUCUGCUACGCUCCAGCCAGCCCCUAACUGGUCCCCAGAAGCGGCGCUGCUACAGGGACCAGGAGCUGCUGCGAACUGCGCUGGCGGGGGCUCGUCCUUGGGCGCGGGGCUUCAUCAUGGACACGCUCUCGGCCCAGGCCGCGAAACAAGCCCGCGUGACUGGCGGAGGCACAGAGACCAAGGCCGCUUAACCUGGCUGGUUGCACUGGUCCCUGGAGAGGAUUCUGUGUCUCCCUCAUUGGUCUUGAGCACUUGCUCCCUGGCUGUACUUGGCAAGGGCUUGAGCUGGAAAAGAUGACCAGACUCCCACCGCCCAGAGGGCGUCCCCUGCAGGAGAGCUUCAUGCGCCUGGUGGAGGCCUGUGGGGACUCGGAGCAAAGCAUGGACAACUGGCUGAGUCGGCUGGACGGCUGCCGCUGACUGUAACAUGUAAAGCAGGCACUGAGCACCACCUGCCUGGCAGUCCAGGGCAUGGAGAGGCACAGACAGCACCCUGCUUGUGACUUCACUGGCCCAACUCAUCCUGGACCCCUUGAGCAAGACCAUGGCUGGAUUCCAGGAACUGGUGGAGUGGAAGUGGAUCCAGGAAAAUGCCGUGUGAAGGGAGGACUCAGAUGCACUCCCUGUGGUCUGGGCUCAACCAGCCAAAAGAGCAACAAAGACUCCAGAACCCACUCUACCUCCUCAAUCCCUUGGCCAUCUGUGGAGCCCCAGAGCCUGCGGCUGUGGCAAGGCCUGUUUCUGCGCUGGACCUGCUCACCUGAGCCUGCAGAAGCUGCAUGGGGGAAGAGUGUGGCAAAUAGUGACAGGAAGGGAGAAGACAGAAGCCUCUCAGCCAACUGCUUCAGCCGAGCCCCUAUUCUAAGCACUGGCUCCUUGGAUAGCAGCUGAGAUGUUCCUGAAACCUCUGCAGGCCCCUUAGGACCUUUACACCUUGGAUGAGGGUGCCUGCAACCCAGGUUAGCCAAAAGUACUGAGGGUCUUAAGUUUGAAGUGUCCAAAGUAUAGGGAGGUCUCAAUAAUAAAAGUCUCCAUGAUCAGC